rnacentral:rRNA from 1 species
ACUCCUACGGGAGGCAGCAGUGGGAAUAUUGGACAAUGGGCGCAAGCCUGAUCCAGCCAUGCCGCGUGUGUGAAGAAGGCCCUCGGGUUGUAAAGCACUUUCAGUGAGGAAGAAAGCUUGUCGGUUAAUACCCGGCAAGGACGACAUCACUCACAGAAGAAGCACCGGCUAACUCCGUGCCAGCAGCCGCGGUAAUACGGAGGGUGCGAGCGUUAAUCGGAAUUACUGGGCGUAAAGCGCGCGUAGGCGGAUCAGAAAGUUGGGGUGGAAUCCGGGCAUCGACCAUCGGAACUGCCUCCAAAACUCCUGGUCUUGAGUUCGAGAGAGGUGAGUGGAAUUCCGAGUGUAGAGGUGAAAUUCGUAGAUAUUCGGAGGAACACCAGUGGCGAAGGCGGCUCACUGGCUCGAUACUGACGCUGAGGUGCGAAAGUGUGGGAGCAAACAGGAUUAGAUACCCUGGUAGGCUCUG